GACGAACGCUGGCGGCGUGCUUAACACAUGCAAGUCGAACGGAAAGGCCCUGCUGUUGUGGGGUGCUCGAGUGGCGAACGGGUGAGUAACACGUGAGUAACCUGCCCUUGACUUUGGGAUAACUUCAGGAAACUGGGGCUAAUACCGGAUAGGAGCUCCUGCUGCAUGGUGGGGGUUGGAAAGUUUCGGCGGUUGGGGAUGGACUCGCGGCUGAUCAGCUUGUUGGUGGGGUAGUGGCUUACCAAGGCUUUGACGGGUAGCCGGCCUGAGAGGGUGACCGGCCACAUUGGGACUGAGAUACGGCCCAGACUCCUACGGGAGGCAGCAGUGGGGAAUAUUGCACAAUGGGCGGAAGCCUGAUGCAGCAACGCCGCGUGCGGGAUGACGGCCUUCGGGUUGUAAACCGCUUUCGCCUGUGACGAAGCGUGAGUGACGGUAAUGGGUAAAGAAGCACCGGCUAACUACGUG
rnacentral:rRNA from 1 species